UACGGGGGGGGCAAGCGUUGUUCGGAGUUACUGGGCGUAAAGGGCUCGUAGGCGGCCAACUAAGUCAUACGUGAAAUCCCUCGGCUUAACCGAGGAACUGCGUCUGAUACUGGAUGGCUCGAGUUUGGGAGAGGGAUGCGGAAUUCCAGGUGUAGCGGUGAAAUGCGUAGAUAUCUGGAGGAACACCGGUGGCGAAGGCGGCAUCCUGGACCAACACUGACGCUGAGGAGCGAAAGCCAGGGGAGCAAAUGGG
rnacentral:rRNA from 1 species